AUUGAACGCUGGCGGCAGGCCUAACACAUGCAAGUCGAGCGAGCGGCGGACGGGUGAGUAAUGUAUGGGGAUCUGCCCGAUAGAGGGGGAUAACUACUGGAAACGGUAGCUAAUACCGCAUACCAUCAGAUGUGCCCAGAUGGGAUUAGCUAGUAGGUGGGGUAAUGGCUCACCUAGGCAACGAUCCCUAGCUGGUCUGAGAGGAUGACCAGCCACACUGGAACUGAGACACGGUCCAGACUCCUACGGGAGGCAGCAGUGGGGAAUAUUGCACAAUGGGCGCAAGCCUGAUGCAGCCAUGCCGCGUGUAUGAAGAAGGCCUUCGGGUUGUAAAGUACUUUCAGCGAGGAGGCGUUACUCGCAGAAGAAGCACCGGCUAACUCCGUGCCAGCAGCCGCGGUAAUUC
rnacentral:rRNA from 1 species